rnacentral:rRNA from 1 species
GACGUAGGUGGCGAACGUUAUCCGGAAUCAUUGGGCGUAAAGGGUGCGCAGAUGGCAUGAUAAGUUAUUAGUGGGAAAUCGAGGCUCAACCUCGUGGAAGCUAGUAAUACUGUUUUGCUUGAGUACAGAAGAGGUUAACGGAACUCCAUGUGGAGCGGUAAAAUGCGUAGAUAUAUGGAAGAACACCAAUAACGGCGAAGGCAGUUAACUAUUCUGUUACUGACAUUGAGGCACGAAAGCGUGGGGAGCAAAACGG